rnacentral:rRNA from 1 species
CACGUAGGGGGCGAGCGUUGUCCGGAUUUAUUGGGCGUAAAGAGCUCGUAGGCGGCUCGGUAAGUCAGGUGUGAAACCCCCGGGCUCAACCCGGGGACGCCACCUGAUACUGCCAUGGCUAGAGUCCGGUAGGGGAGCGUGGAAUUCCUGGUGUAGCGGUGAAAUGCGCAGAUAUCAGGAGGAACACCAGCGGCGAAGGCGGCGCUCUGGGCCGGAACUGACGCUGAGGAGCGAAAGCGUGGGGAGCAAACAGGAUUAGAAACCCGAGUAGUCC